rnacentral:rRNA from 1 species
UACGAAGGGGGCUAGCGUUGCUCGGAAUCACUGGGCGUAAAGGGUGCGUAGGCGGGUUUUUAAGUCAGGGGUGAAAUCCUGGAGCUCAACUCCAGAACUGCCUUUGAUACUGAAGAUCUUGAGUCCGGGAGAGGUUAGUGGAACUGCGAGUGUAGAGGUGAAAUUCGUAGAUAUUCGCAAGAACACCAGUGGCGAAGGCGGCUAACUGGCCCGGUACUGACGCUGAGAUACGAAAGCGUGGGGAGCAAACAGG